AGGUUCCUUGAGGUUCUAUAUAGAACCGUGGGGUUCUAUACUUGGCCAAUAGAACCUUUUACCAAAAAACGGGUUCCAUAUAGAACCCUUGGAAGGCAAAGAACCAUUUUUAUUAAAAUGGUUCUAUAAUUCACGUUUUGUGACUGAAGUGUAAUCUAAAGAUUACACAAUAAUUGCAGACCUACACAACUCAUUUACAAACCUACACAACUCAUUCACAAACCUUUUUGUGUCAAUAGGUUGUGGUCAAAUAAAGAGAGAGUCAACAAAUAGGCUACUAAUAUUUAGUGUACACUGUAAAAAAUCCAACUAAUGAAAUGUUGGACGGGCAAAAAUAUAUAAGUUAAACCAAUUUUUUUGUUUGAGCUAGUUGAGAAGAUCUGUGUUUAAAAUAUUAAAUGAAUGGUUAUUUUCAAAUCCAGUCAAAAUUCAGAAUGGCUAGUGUUGACUGAACUAAUUAAGACAAAUCAGGUAAGUAUGUGGAGUUAUGACAGCUAUGUUUCCUGACAACAAAAUGCUCAUAAUAUUACUGUUAUUUGGUCACAAAAUGUAAUUGUAAGAGUUGUUCAGGCGUGAAUGUAUGUGCUUAAAGUUUAAAAAUGCGGUCGGUUAAUAAAGAUAGGGUCUAUUUAAAAAUGUGCUUGGACACUUUCGGACGUAGAUGAGCUCCAUAUGAGCUCCAGAAAAUCACAGACACUUAAGCGCUCACACCCCGCCCAGCGCAGCCUCUCCUCGGCAAGCCCGACUGCUGGCUCUGAUAUCUCUGUGGCGUUUAAACAUAUGAUUUAAUUCAUUUUGAUUUCUCAUACUUAACAAUGAAAGGGUUAUGUUUUAAAUCAUAUUUUAGGAUUGCACUUAAUUGAUAUUGCUGUUGAGUGAUGUUUCAUAUCUUUUACAUUUGUUAUAACCGGACUGCAUGCGAAUUUGAACUUCAGAUCUGAAGGAGCGAGUGGAGAAAUAGUCCCAAUAUCAUAACAAUCUUAAAUAAAACUUCUAAAUAUACCCGUGUGUGUACCCGUGUGCGCGCGCGCGUGCGCGCGACCCGUUUGUUCGCGCGUGUGUAUGUACAGUAUGUGCGUGAGUUUUUAAUUUAAAAUGUCUUAACUUAACUCGGAAGGAUCUGAAUCACAGGUCAUUUCAUCUGAGAUCAUUCCGCAUGUAACAGCCGGAAUCACUCACUGUUUCCCACAACGACACGAGUCAUCAGCCGUUUCCUCAAGGUCACGUCAGAUAACCAUGGUUAAUAAAUGGUCAGACACGUCACUGGCUUUAAAAUAUAAACCCCAUUGAUGCAAAAAGAUGCUGCAUGGAAUGACAAUGUGGUUUGGAACAGACUUGGUGAAGAACAUGGAAACAUCUCUUAAUAAAAUGGCCCCAAACAUCAUCAGGAGUGCAAAAGAAGGAAGUAAAAAACAUCUCUACGCCAAUCUCAUUGGAGAGGAAACCACAGAAGGUCUGGUGAGGAAUGCUGCACUUCUGUUAUUGCAAGCAUUAUUUCAAGAAAAUCCCAGCUUCCUUUACUGUGUAAAUAGUGUAAGUAUAGUCUUCUGUAAUUUAGUUAGCAUUUGAGGCACUUUAUUUAAAGUAACAUUCAAUGCAAAUAUAAAACUAUUACUCUGUUUACCCUUAAAUAGCAUACAGCUCUACAUCAAUUAUUAUGAGUCUUGUUGGUUCGUGAGUGUCGCUUGCCUAGUUGUCAUACUUUAUUUGUGUUAUUAUGGGAUAAUUUUAAGUCUAUUUGAUGGCUUCUGUUAAUUGGUAAAAAGCACUUAAAAGGUGAAAUGUUUGUUUUACAGGAACCCGCCCCUGUCGCAGAUCACGCUCCUCCUAGUUCCACCUCGAGGAGGUCCCAAAGCACCCCAAUGACCAGACAAACCAGAGGGGGAGUAUUACGGGGCCAGGGACGUUGGAGGGGUUUCCACGUGACUCCAGCUGGAACACCGCUACAGAGCGUAUCUGGGUGGGUUGGGCACACACCGUCGCGGCGGCCCCUGAUGGCAUCCACAAGGGUCCAAGACCCUCCUAAGGUGAGUACGGACGACAAGGACACAGCACAACACUUCAAUAAAGCUUUGUGUAUUUCCGUUUCAAGAGGUUCUUA